GAUGAACGCUGGCGGCGUGCCUAAUACAUGCAAGUCGAGCGAACAGAUAAGGAGCUUGCUCCUUUGAAGUUAGCGGCGGACGGGUGAGUAACACGUGAGUAACCUACCUAUAAGACUGGGAUAACUUCGGGAAACCGGAGCUAAUACCGGAUAACAUUUAGAACCGCAUGGCUCUAAAGUGAAAGAUGGUUUUGCUAUCACUUAUAGAUGGACCCGCGCCGUAUUAGCUAGUUGGUAAGGUAACGGCUUACCAAGGCGACGAUACGUAGCCGACCUGAGAGGGUGAUCGGCCACACCGGAACUGAGACACGGUCCAGACUCCUACGGGAGGCAGCAGUAGGGAAUCUUCCGCAAUGGGCGAAAGCCUGACGGAGCAACGCCGCGUGAGUGAUGAAGGGUUUCGGCUCGUAAAACUCUGUUAUUAGGGAAGAACAAAUGUGUAAGUAACUGUGCACAUCUUGACGGUACCUAAUCAGAAAGCCACGGCUAACUACGUGCCAGCAGCCGCGGUAAUACGUAGGUGGCAAGCGUUAUCCGGAAUUAUUGGGCGUAAAGCGCGCGUAGGCGGUUUCUUAAGUCUGAUGUGAAAGCCCACGGCUCAACCGUGGAGGGUCAUUGGAAACUGGGAAACUUGAGUGCAGAAGAGGAAAGUGGAAUUCCAUGUGUAGCGGUGAAAUGCGCAGAGAUAUGGAGGAACACCAGUGGCGAAGGCGACUUUCUGGUCUGUAACUGACGCUGAUGUGCGAAAGCGUGGGGAUCAAACAGGAUUAGAUACCCUGGUAGUCCACGCCGUAAACGAUGAGUGCUAAGUGUUAGGGGGUUUCCGCCCCUUAGUGCUGCAGCUAACGCAUUAAGCACUCCGCCUGGGGAGUACGACCGCAAGGUUGAAACUCAAAGGAAUUGACGGGGACCCGCACAAGCGGUGGAGCAUGUGGUUUAAUUCGAAGCAACGCGAAGAACCUUACCAAAUCUUGACAUCCUUUGAAAACUCUAGAGAUAGAGCCUUCCCCUUCGGGGGACAAAGUGACAGGUGGUGCAUGGUUGUCGUCAGCUCGUGUCGUGAGAUGUUGGGUUAAGUCCCGCAACGAGCGCAACCCUUAAGCUUAGUUGCCAUCAUUAAGUUGGGCACUCUAGGUUGACUGCCGGUGACAAACCGGAGGAAGGUGGGGAUGACGUCAAAUCAUCAUGCCCCUUAUGAUUUGGGCUACACACGUGCUACAAUGGACAAUACAAAGGGCAGCUAAACCGCGAGGUCAUGCAAAUCCCAUAAAGUUGUUCUCAGUUCGGAUUGUAGUCUGCAACUCGACUACAUGAAGCUGGAAUCGCUAGUAAUCGUAGAUCAGCAUGCUACGGUGAAUACGUUCCCGGGUCU
rnacentral:rRNA from 1 species